UUGAUGUAAAAGAUUGUGUAAGCAAGGCCAAUAAAAAUCGAAAAAAUAUGAUAAGAAGGAGAUUGUCUGUUCGAGUUUUUCAUUUUCAUCUCAUGUGCAAUCUUCUCAGAUUUUCCUCACUUUUCCGUCGGCUGUCAAAGUCGAAAGCAAUUAUAAGCCGGGCCAUUUGAUUUCAGGCUUUUGGCAAUUUCCGUUAAUAAAUUAAAAGUAUCAUUGCCAAAAUGGACGGGAAUGAGAAGGGGAGAACGUGAGCCAUUUGCAAAUGGGAGGAAUAUCACCUGGUGGCUCUUCCACCGAAAAGGAUUCGAGAUGCAUGCCCAAAGCCGUAAAGAGAGUUAUGGGAAAAGAGAGGCGCAAAAGAGAGUGACUCACUAAAAAAGGCAAAAUCGACAACGUGGCGUCGCUGAGCGACUGAAAGGCAUUAUCUAUUUUUUUUUGUAAAUAUAUGUACAUAUAUUUCCGAUGA